rnacentral:rRNA from 1 species
CCAAUAGCGUAUAUUAAAGUUGUUGCAGUUAAAAAGCUCGUAGUUGAAUUUCGAGAUCAAAUUGUUGGUCGUGCCUUGGUUCGUACUGGCAUUAUUGGUUUCUCCCUUCUGAAGAACCAUGAUGUCAUUAAUUUGGGGUCAUGGGGAAUCAGGACUGUUACUUUGAAAAAAUUAGAGUGUUUAAAGCAGGCUCGCGCUUGAAUACAUUAGCAUGGAAUAAUGAAAUAGGACGUUUAAUUCUAUUUUGUUGGUUUCUAGGAUUGACGUAAUGAUUAAUAGGGAUAGUUGGGGGCAUUAGUAUUCAAUUGUCAGAGGUGAAAUUCUUGGAUUUAUUGAAGACUAACUACUGCGAAAGCAUUUGCCAAGGAUGUUUUCAUUAAUCAAGAACGAAAGUUAGGGGAUCGAAGACGAUCAGAUACCGUCGUAGUCUUAACCAUAAACUAUGCCGACUAGGGAUCGGAUGAUGUUAAUUUUUUAAUGACUCAUCCGGCGCCUUACG